AAUCAUAAUGGCCGAAAAUCUAAGGUUUCCUGAGGAAGGUUCGUCCGCUCAGGGUUAGUCGGGAGCUAAGGUCAGGCGGAAACGCGUAGCCGAUGCACAUACGGUAGAAAUUCCGUAACCUCCGAAGAUUUAAGCACAGGGACGCUUUUGAAGGGCUGAGCAGGGAGUUGGUUUCCUGUCGUAAGGGACGCGUAAGCGGAAGUCAGUUUGGAAAGAGACGAGAAAAGCUGUGUGUAUAUGGAAGGAGCCCGUACCGCAAACCGACACAGGUAGAUAGGAAGAAGAUUCUAAGGCCAGCGGGAGAAGGGUUGUUAAGGAACUCGGCAAGUUGACCCCGUAACUUCGGGAGAAGGGGUGCUUACGAAGGUAAGCCGCAGAGAAUAGGCCCAAGCGACUGUUUAGCAAAAACACAGCUCUAUGCUAAAUCGAAAGAUGACGUAUAUGGGGUGACACCUGCCCGGUGCUGGAAGGUUAAGAGGAGAUGUGAGAGCAUUGAAUUGAAGCCCCAGUAAACGGCGGCCGUAACUAUAACGGUCCUAAGGUAGCGAAAUUCCUUGUCAGGUAAGUUCUGACCCGCACGAAUGGCGUAAUGAUCUGGGAGCUGUCUCAACUGCCCGCCCGGCGAAAUUGUAGUACCGGUGAAGAUGCCGGUUACCCGCGACUAGACGGAAAGACCCCAUGGAGCUUCACUGCAGCUUAAUAUUGAAUUUUGGUAUUUCAUGUACAGGAUAGGUGGGAGACUGGGAAAUACAGGCGUCAGCUUGUAUGGAGUCGCUGUUGGGAUACCACUCUUGAAGUGCUGAAAUUCUAACCUGUGGCCUUGAAUCAGGUCAGGGGACAUUGUUAGGCGGGCAGUUUGACUGGGGCGGUCGCCUCCUAAAAGGUAACGGAGGCGCUCAAAGGUUCGCUCAGCAUGGACGGAAACCAUGCCAGAGAGUGUAAACGCAAAAGCGAGCCUAACUGCGAGACUGACGGGUCGAGCAGUAACGAAAGUUGGAGUUAGUGAUCCGGCGGUAUGAGAGUGGAAAUGCCGUCGCUCAACGGAUAAAAGCUACCCUGGGGAUAACAGGCUGAUCU
rnacentral:rRNA from 1 species